CAAGGUGGGAAUGAUAAAUUCCCCCCGCCGAGUUUGAGAGGCUGCAGGCUAGUUAUAUCAUUUCCCUACUUGGGCAUGCUACACAAAAUGGAAGUUGAUGGAAGUAAUGGGGUCUUCAGGAGGCAUGAUCAUUCGAGCUUGAGGGGCCCAGAUAAUUCCAAUUUUGAUACUGCAGCUACCCAAAACCUUAGCUUCUCUAGGACAGCAGAACUUGACCUAUAGCACUCGCUUAUCCCAAGUCCUAAUUACUGUGUCUAUUAACUAUCUUGGUUCUCAGAGAACCCCAGGACUUGAGUAGAAAGAGCAGAAUUACAAACAGUCGCAAUGAAAGAUAUUUGAAGCACAAAAGCAGAAUGAUAAAGUGACUGAAAGAUGAUGGCAAACUGAAUGAAAAUGGCAAGGGGAUCUGGUCACCGAUGUGGCCAGUGAAUGGCUGCAGGUGGCGUCAAACCCCAUGCUUUCAGUGAAGGAGCCUAGUCGAGCAUUGGAGACAGAGUAGGGAGUCAUCGUCCAAAAGUAGGCAAGUAAUCUUUCCUUUACAGGUCCGGCCAAGUGUGUGUCUGUUUCAUUAUAGUUGUUUGGCCUCCUGUGGCUUUGCUGAUCUUCUCACGAUAAGAAUUUGUAUGUGAUGAAACAUUAUGAAAUAAUAUCUGCUGUACUGGAUUAUAGUAUAAUCAUGGAAAAAGGAGAUUUUUAUUUUAUGAUGUAAUCAGCUCUAAAUUACAAAUUUAGAUUUCCAUAUUCCCUAGUUCUAUAGGGAUAGCUGUUUUUAUGUAAUUUCCCUCAAAAUUACAGAAAAUGUAAUUUGAGGGAAAUUAUAUUUAAAAAAAAAAAAAGCCGUCAUCACUCACAGUGUGUAUAAAUCAUGGCAUCAAUACUCAGGACACUUAACCCUCAGUUAUGACCGUACAUAUUUUAUACGACCAGGUUAAAAAAAAAA